UGCAAGGUCAGAACUAUAUGGCGGAUGC
rnacentral:piRNA from 1 species